rnacentral:rRNA from 1 species
GAUGAACGCUGGCGGCGUGCCUAAUACAUGCAAGUCGAGCGAACAGAUGAGGAGCUUGCUCCUCUGACGUUAGCGGCGGACGGGUGAGUAACACGUGGAUAACCUACCUAUAAGACUGGGAUAACUUCGGGAAACCGGAGCUAAUACCGGAUAAUAUAUUGAACCGCAUGGUUCAAUAGUGAAAGACGGUUUUGCUGUCACUUAUAGAUGGAUCCGCGCCGCAUUAGCUAGUUGGUAAGGUAACGGCUUACCAAGGCAACGAUGCGUAGCCGACCUGAGAGGGUGAUCGGACACACUAGACCGGAGACACGGUCCAGACUCCUACGGGAGGCAGCAGUAGGGAAUCUUCCGCAAUGGGCGAAAGCAUGACGGAGCAACGCCGCGUGAGUGAUGAAGGUCUUCGGAUCGUAAAACUCUGUUAUUAGGGAAGAACAAAUGUGUAAGUAACUAUGCACGUCUUGACGGUACCUAAUCAGAAAGCCACGGCUAACUACGUG